AACGAACGCUGGCGGCAGGCUUAACACAUGCAAGUCGAACGGGUGUAGCAAUACAUCAGUGGCAGACGGGUGAGUAACACGUGGGAACCUUCCUAGGGGUACGGAACAACUCAGGGAAACUUGAGCUAAUACCGCAUACGUCCGUGAGGAGAAAGAUUUAUCGCCCUUAGACGGGCCCGCGUCGGAUUAGCUAGUUGGUGGGGUAACGGCCAACCAAGGCGACGAUCCGUAGCUGAUCUUAGAGGAUGAUCAGCCACACUGGGACUGAGACACGGCCCAGACUCCUACGGGAGGCAGCAGUGGGGAAUCUUGGACAAUGGGCGCAAGCCUGAUCCAGCCAUGCCGCGUGAGUGAGGAAGGUCUUCGGAUUGUAAAGCUCUUUUGCCAGGGACGAUAAUGACGGUACCUGGAGAAUAAGCCCCGGCAAACUUCGUGCCAGCCGCCGCCGUAA
rnacentral:rRNA from 1 species